rnacentral:piRNA from 1 species
UGCUGCUCAUUGGUGAAUGAACGGGC